CACAUGAGUAGCAAUACGAUGGUGGCGACCGGUCGCACGGGUGAGUAACACGUAUGCAACCUACCUUUAACAGGGGAAUAACCCGUUGAAAAACGGACUAAUACUCCGAUAACGACAGGGGUCCCGCAUGGGAAUAUUUGUUAAAGAUUAAUCGGUUGAAGAUGGGCAUGCGUUCCAUUAGCUUGUGGUGAGGUAACGGCUCACCAAGGCCACGAUGGAUAGGGGAACUGAGAGGUUUAUCCCCCACACUGGAACUGAGACACGGUCCAGACUCCUACGGGAGGCAGCAGUGAGGAAUAUUGGUCAAUGGAGGCAACUCUGAACCAGCCAAGUCGCGUGAAGGAAUGAAGGUCUUAUGGAUUGUAAACUUCUUUUGCAAGGGAAUAAAGUGGGGGACGUGUCCUCCUUUGCAUGUACCUUGCGAAUAAGGAUCGGCUAACUCCGUGCCAGCAGCAGC
rnacentral:rRNA from 1 species